rfam:Capsicum annuum cultivar Zunla-1 chromosome 5, whole genome shotgun sequence
ACCUUAUGAUUUGGGCAUUGAAUCAAUUUAUUAUUGAAUCUUUUUCAAAUUUCAUACAAGGUUUCACCACUAAGUCGGCAAAAAUUUGCAAUCCCAUCCCUUAGUU